CAUCUGGUUUUUUUUCACCUUAUGGCUCCCCAUUUUCCAAUACGCAAAUUUUUUACCUGAUGCUAGUCUUUAAAUGCCACCGCUAAGCCUCUGGUUGCUAAAUAUUUCUUGCCUCUGUGCAGUUUAGACUUUUGCUACGGCUGGGUUUUAUGCAAGAUGCUAAAUCCCACUGCAUUGUUUGGCUUACCACAUUAUGUAAAUCAUGGGUGAUGGCUUAGCAUAACCUUCCUCGAAAAUAUAGUUCAUUUUUCAUGGACUGAAGUGUGAAGUCAUUUUUUAUGAUCCAGAGCGAUGUGUCAAACUGGACAACAAGCAUUUGAGUGUACAUGUUAAGGAGUUCUGGGUAGCACCUGCCUGGACGUCAUCAUGUCCCGGUUUUGAUGCUCUGCGCAUAUGCGGAAUGUCCUUUGCGUGUGCUCUCACAUUUGCGAACUGGUAGUAAAGCUCUGCUUGCUCUUCUACGACAACUGUGGGCACUCAAGAAAUUACAAAACCCCGAUGGAAGAAUAAUGAAAUUCCUACAGAAGAGGAAGGAAUUGCGAAAACGUCAAAACUGAUGGAAAUGGCAAUUUGGUCAGAGAACAAACUACAAAAACAUUUUUGAAAGACUGGAAGCCUUACAUGGACUUUGUCCUGACGGAUGAAAAUGAAUCGUUGAUUUGUGGGUUUUGAAGGCUAAGAAAGAUGAGGACCAAAUGAAGGGGUGAAAGGACUUGUAAAAUACUUAAGAGGAAGGAGGAACAAGGAGAAUGCAAUUAUCUGUUGAAAGAAAGUUGGAAGUCAUUUUAAUGCUUCUUAAAUCGGUUUUUCAUUUCUCUUCUGAUUUUUUUUCUCCAUUUACCCUUUUGGCUUGUUACUAUCAUAUGGAAAUUUUCAGUAAAUAAAAUUCAACAAAUAAAGGAAUUUCAAAGCUA